rnacentral:rRNA from 1 species
AUUGAACGCUGGCGGCAGGCCUAACACAUGCAAGUCGAACGAGUGGCGGACGGGUGAGUAAUGUCUGGGAAACUGCCCGAUGGAGGGGGAUAACUACUGGAAACGGUAGCUCAUACCGCAUCCCAUCGUAUGUGCCCAGAUGGGCUUAGCUAGUGGGUGGGGUAAUGGCUAACCUCGGCGACGAUCCCUAGCUGGUCUGAGAGGAUGACCAGCCACACUGGAACUGAGACACGGUCCAGACUCCGACGGGAGGCAGCAGUGGGGAAUAUUGCACAAUGGGCGCAAGCCUGAUGCAGCCAUGCCGCGUGUAUGAAGAAGGCCUUCGGGUUGUAAAGUACUUUCAGCGAGGAGGCGUUACUCGCAGAAGAAGCACCGGCUAACUCCGUGCCAGCAGCCGCGGUAAUUC